rnacentral:lncRNA from 1 species
AUGGCAUCCCCUAAGAACUCAGAGGUGGCCGACUCAAGAAAGUGUCUUCAAAUCCUGAAACCGAGCGGAAAGAGGCAUGGCAUCCAGCAAUCUUUUCUGCCGGUUUCAGAGUCCCAACAGUCUCCUGGAAACUGUAAUGUGCCUAUGAUUUACUAAAAAGCCAAGCAGGAGCUCAUUUGACAAAGCAAUAUUCAAGGUCAACAAUUCUUCUCCAGUAUACACAGCUGUUUCAAAACGUUGCUUUGGGAGGAUGCAGCGAGGUCCUGAGUUCAAUUCCCACCAACCACAUGGUGACUCACAGCCAUCUGUAAUGGAAUCAGAUGCCUUCUUCUGCUGUGGCUGAAGACAGUGACAGUGUACUCACAUACAUAAAGAAUUUGAUCAGUUUGAUGAAAUUUCAUUGAUGUCAACUCUCCAGCUGUCUGUGCCUUACCAAAAGCUGUUUGCCUCCAAGACAAUAAACAGCCCGUGUGAUCCUUUCUCUUGUUUAAGCAGGAAGUCACCACUCAACAGGAAGGAAUUUAAAACCAAUCCCACAAAAU